GUAGCAAUACAGGGGAGUGGCGGACGGGUGAGGAACACGUAGGAAUCUACCUAGAAGAGCGGGACAACCUUGGGAAACCCGGGGCUAAUACCGCAUAGUACAGUGAUGUUAAAGGGCUAGCAAUAGUCGCUUCUAGAUGAGCCUGCGGUCUAUCAGCUUGUUGGCGGGGUAACGGCCCACCAAGGCUACGACGGAUAGCCGGUCUGAGAGGAUGAUCGGCCACACUGGCACUGAGACACGGGCCAGACUCCUACGGGAGGCAGCAGUUAAGAAUCUUGCGCAAUGGACGAAAGUCUGACGCAGCGACGCCGCGUGAAGGAUGAAGGCUUUCGGGUUGUAAACUUCGGUAGACUGGGAAGAAAAAGUAAGUUCGUUGAGGGCUUACAUUGACGGUACCAGUCUGAAGCCCCGGCUAAUUACGUG
rnacentral:rRNA from 1 species